rnacentral:rRNA from 1 species
GCAAGUCGAGCGGAAACGGCAACAGUUAAUCUUUUGAUGAUUUGUUGGGCGUCGAUCGGCGGACGGGUUAGUAAUGCCUUGGAAAUUGCCUUUAUGUGGGGGAUAACCAUUUGAAACGAUGGCUAAUACCGUAUAAUGCCUACUGGCCAAAGAUGGGGACCUACGGGUUUAUCGCGUCAAGAUAUGCCUAGGUGGGAUUAGCUAGUUGGUGAGGUAAUGGCUCACCAAGGCGACGAUGCCUAGCUGGUCUGAGAGGAUGAUC